UCAGCUUGUUGGUGGGGUAACGGCUCACCAAGGCAUCGACGGGUAGCUGGUCUGAGAGGACGAUCAGCCACACUGGGACUGAGACACGGCCCAGACUCCUGCGGGAGGCAGCAGUGGGGAAUCUUGCGCAAUGGGCGAAAGCCUGACGCAGCAACGCCGCGUGGGGGAUGAAGGCUCUCGGGUUGUAAACCCCUUUCAGCAGGGACGAAAUUGACGGUACCUGCAGAAGAAGCCCCGGCCAACUACGUGCCAGCAGCCGCGGUGACACGUAGGGGGCGAGCGUUGUCCGGAAUUAUUGGGCGUAAAGAGCUCGUAGGCGGUUUGGUAAGUCAGAUGUGAAAGGUUGGGGCUCAACCCUAAGACUGCAUCCGAUACUGCUAUGACUAGAGUCCGGUAGAGGAGUGUGGAAUUCCUGGUGUAGCGGUGAAAUGCGCAGAUAUCAGGAGGAACACCGACGGCGAAGGCAGCACUCUGGGCCGGUACUGACGCUCAGGAGCGAAAGCGUGGGUAGCAAACAGGAUUAGAUACCCUGGUAGUCCACGCCGUAAACGUUGGGCACUAGGUGUGGGGCCUUAUCAACGGGUUCCGUGCCGUAGCUAACGCAUUAAGUGCCCCGCCUGGGGAGUACGGAAUCGAAUUC
rnacentral:rRNA from 1 species